rnacentral:misc_RNA from 1 species
AGGUUCACUAUUCAGUGGGAGCAAUAAUUUACAGAAUAACCCUGCAAUACAAAUUCAAUCGCACAACAUUGCGAAACACAUCAACUGAUUUACUCAACCAAGGCAUGUUGUUCUGUCUAUCCACAGAUAACUAGGUAUAUACUCAAAUUUCAGUGGAAAAUCAAAGCUCUUUGUUAGCUCAGAUCCAAAGAAACAGAGAGUUGACUAAAGGCAACUCUUAAGAAUCAGAAAGGCUACAGUAACAGAGAGAAGGCAGGAGAGAGAAGAAGAAGAAGGAGGCGUGUGCAAAUGCAAAUAAGCG